rnacentral:rRNA from 1 species
AGAACGAACGCUGGCGGCAUGCCUAAUACACGCAAGUCGAACGAAGGCUUCGGCCUUAGUGGCGCACGGGUGCGUAACGCGUGGGAAUCUGCCCCUUGGUUCGGAAUAACAGUUGGAAACGACUGCUAAUACCGGAUGAUGACGAAAGUCCAAAGAUUUAUCGCCAAGGGAUGAGCCCGCGUAGGAUUAGCUAGUUGGUGAGGUAAAGGCUCACCAAGGCGACGAUCCUUAGCUGGUCUGAGAGGAUGAUCAGCCACACUGGGACUGAGACACGGCCCAGACUCCUACGGGAGGCAGCAGUAGGGAAUAUUGGACAAUGGGCGAAAGCCUGAUCCAGCAAUGCCGCGUGAGUGAUGAAGGCCUUAGGUUGUAAAGCUCUUUUACCCGAGAUGAUAAUGACAGUAUCGGAGAAUAAGCCCCGGCUAACUCCGUGUCAGCAGCCGC